GGCAAGCCAGAUGAUGAUGUGGUGGUUGAUGGUUACGAUGGUUAUGAUGACUAUGAUUUUAUGUGAGCCAGCAUUAUUUCCAUAUCAGCAUUGUGUGUUGUUCCAAAUGGAAUACAUAACGCUACAAAUAUGAAGAGAAUCCCGCGACCUGUUUCAUUUCCUUAAUUGGGAGAUGGAUUGUAACAUUUUUUGUUUUUUUGAUGGAAUAACUGAAUAAGGAGUUCUACAUUGUUCAGAUUUUAUUUUUACGAAUGUUGAUCAGAUAUCUAUUUUGAUUCUCGUUGGGGUAUCGAUGGCGCGGAGAGUGGAGACAGUAAGUGUAAAAUUUUAGUACAUAAGGAAUUGUAAUUCAUUAUUUUAACUUGUGUUACCAACUAGAACAAAAACUGCGAGUCGGUUGGGUUUGUUGAACAUCUUCUACUUCUUUCAAACUUUUUGUGUCCGCUGCUGUAAGCAAAACCUAUACAUUGUGGAUCACUUUUAUAUGUUUUUGGUAUAAGAGAAGAAAGGCAUGUGAAUCGAACAGGCCAGUGUAUGUGGGCAUGUUCUUGUUACCUGAUUUCAUCAUUCUUCACUGCUUUCUAAUUUAAAGGGCCAAACUUUCAAAUUGUCUUCAUAAGAUUCAGGAGGAAAUUAAUAGAUAAAAUUGCACCAAGCCAUUACCAACCUUCACAAUUCUAGAACUGGAAUGUGAAUUUUCCUGCUCUAUAAAAGGAAAAUGGUGAUAGUUUUAUAGGCUUGAAAUUCGGAAUACAAAUAAUACAUGAAAAUCAAAAUUAAAAUGCUUUACAACAUAAGAUCACACUGUUAGGAGCUAUCUAUAUGUUUGAGCUCUACACUCGAUAUUUCCCAAGCCACGAAGGCUGUUAUUCGGGAAAGGAGCGGAGCUCUUACAAUGUUAAGAGACACCUUCUACGAGGAAAAAAGGCUGCCUUUGAAUUUGCCAAUCCUCUAGCUUUUGCGGUAGUUUCUGUGAUUCUUAACUAUCCCAUGAAGUUAGGGCGUUAUACCUUUUGUACUUGGCACCCACCGCCCAUGUGACUUGAGGUUAUUGAGCGAACGCUCUGCAGGAAGAAUACAGUGUAGUGCGUAUGUGUUGACCAGUUUAUUAACGUGGACAAUUAUUGCAUGUUCCCACACUGAGUGGACUCUGUAUGCUUAUCUCAUAUUUAACAUUUUCAGGUUUCUAAGGUCGGAGGCGCGUGGAAGGUCGAAUGACGAAUCAAAUAUUUUGUAUUUAGCUUUAACUAAAGAUGUUAUUUUGAGUAAAGUAUUUUAAAUAAAAUACUUAUUUCUUUAUUUUCACAUAAAAUAUUUAUUUAUAGUCGUGAUUUUCCGAGUGCGUUUUCAUUUAAAAAUUAAAUUGGAUUUGGGUGUCACAGAGUGGUAUCAGAGCAGGUCUACUUUCCUAUAGACUCCGCAAAAUAUUUUACAUGAAAUUUUUAAAAGUGAAGUGUGACGAAGCCAUUCGACCAUUACGCGCUCCGACUUCAAGGUAAUGUUAUUUUAAAAGUUUUUCAAGGGGAUGAGUAUAAAUUAUUUACGCUGAAAUUAUGUUGAAUUUGCUGCAAUAAUUGAAGUUAUUAUCAGAAAGUUCAAGUUCAAGUUCAGUAUUCAAAUUAUUAUAUUGAAGAUUAUUGCAGCUAUGAAUUGUUAAAUUUCGAGGACGAAAUUUUUUAAGUGGGUAGGUUUGUCACAGCCCAAAACCAUUUUAUUUUCCUUAUUAUUUUUAUUUGAAACUAUUAAAUUUUUUAAGUUAUAAAGUGUUUGAAAAAUAUUUUAUUUAUUGAAUUUAUGUUAGUCUAGUCGUGCCCCUAGUUAGAAAAAUAACUUUAAAAAUCAAUAAAAAAUAAAUUUACAUGUAUGAAUAAUUUUUUUUGUAGUAAUAAAUGUUUAUCUAUAUAAUCAUUUAAUCUUCAUACUUAAAUGUAUAUAUUUAAAUUUAGUACUACUAAACAUGAAUUUAAAACUGAUAAGUGAAUAGUAUAUUUGAUUAUAUAUAUACGAAUUAUAUAUAUAUAUAUAUGGUUAUCCAAAAAGUUAUAAUUUUCAGAGCUCAAGUUACAUGUGUGUGAUUUAUUUCAGUACAUGCUAUGGUUAAUCUUUGUCCAUUUUAAUAUUAUGUGUUUGACAUAUGUGUUGUAAAUUCAGUUAUAUCGCUAGGGGCCCGCUCAAUGGGUCCAGGACUUCACCGUCCUUGAUAUGCCACAAUGCGAUUUCAUGUUACAGUUAAGGUUGCAACCUAUUCGCCAGGGGCCCGCUCAAUGGGUCCAGGACAUUAAAGUCCUUGGUAUGCCACCGUGCGAAUUUCAGUUAUCAGUAUACAGUGCAGUGCAUAUGUGUUGACCAUUUUAUUAACGUGGACAAUUAUUGCAUGUUCCCACACUGAGUGUACUCUGUAUGCUUAUCCCAUAUUUAACAUUUUCAGGUUUCUAAGGUCGGAGGCGCGUGGAAGGUCGAAUGACGAAUCAAAUAUUUUGUAGCUUUAACUAAAGAUGUUAUUUUGAGUAAAGUAUUUUAAAUAAAAUAUUUAUUUCUUUAUUUUCACAUAAAAUAUUUAUUUAUAGUCAUGAUUUUCCGCGUGCGUUUUCAUUUAAAAAUUAAAUUGGAUUUGGGUGUCACAAUAUUGCUCUUCAAUAUCUUCUUUUCAUUGACUCCAUUUCAUUAUUUGAUCCUAGAACGGUGGAAAACCACCUUCGAGUUAUCAAUCUUGUGUCAAACUUGCUGGGGAGCCCUCUUGGGCCUCAUCUCCAAGAGGUGGAUCAGAAGGAUUAAGAAGGUUGAAAGCUUCUAUGGCAAACAAGGUAUUCCUGAGGACAUUCUCCAUUCUCCCGAAACUUCAGCUAAUUGAUAUUUCCUAUGGUGCAUUUAUCUGUCUCUAUCUUACUGUUAUAUUAUGUUCUGUAAUACUCUUUAAUGGAUGGACCUCUUCACUCCAGAUAAUGACUCUGGUCUAUUGGCCUGUACAUUGUAAAUGGUCUAAUUUGUGAAUUCGAUUAAUUUUUGGUACAUGGUUUCUGCUAACUUCCCUUUGGUCUGCACAUAUUGUAUGUGAUAUUCCUCUCAUUUUGCAGGAAUGGGUGGCUGAUUUAGAGAAACCCAAGGGUGAUCCAUCUUCAUUUAUAAAACCAGCAACAACUGUUUUGUCACCUUACUUAAAAGUUAAAAGUAGGUUAUGCUAUGCAUAGUGUUUUCGAUUUGUUUAUUUAUGCUAUGUUUCUUUCUUUGCGGAGGAAAAAGAAUCUCGCAUUCGUUUAUGUUAUUGCUCUGUUUUUCUCUUUGUUUAAUCAUUAAGCUUAUUGCGCUUCUUUUUCUUCUUCUUCUUCUUUCUAUUAAUCUUCAUGUUCUCUUUUUCCAUUUCUUUCUCUAUUUUUAUAUUGAUGAAGUCAAGAUGAAUGCUUUUUAUUAUUAUUAUUAGUCUUCUUGCAUUCUUUUUUUCAAUUGUUUUCAGCAACAAUCGAUUUUUUCCUUUCUUUUUUCUUCUUUUUAGCUUGAUGAAGUCUGGACGAAUGUUCUACUUUGUUGAAUGGUCAUCUCUACAACUUUGUUCUUCUUCCAUUUUUUAUUCUCUGUUUUCUUUUAUAUUGUCUAUUUUCGCAGCUUUUUGCCUUUUUUCAUUAGUGUCUUUUCUAUCAUUUGUCGAUUUUAGGAUAAGAAUUAUAUGUAAAUAAUUUUUCAUUAGUGUCUUUUCUAUCAUUUGUCUUAUUCUCUUUGUACUUUUAUUCAAUUUUGUUUGAUUUGUUUUAUGAAAUAUGUAUAAUAUAAAAAUAAUUAAUAUACAUAUCAUUUUAAAGAUUACAAACAAUUAUUUAAUUUAAUAUAAAAAUUAUCAGAACGCGCCUUAAAAUAAUAAAAAUCCUCUCUUAUUUCUUUAAUUUGAUUUUUUUUCUCUUUAUUUUACUUAUUUAUUUUUAUAUAUAGAUUUCUUUAUUUUGUUAUUUUUCGUUAUUUCAAUACUGAUUUUUAUCUAAUUAGAUGUUUUAUUUUGUUAUAAUUUAGCAAAUCUCAAUUUGAAAUUCUACAAAAAGAAUAAAAUAAAAAAUCAUUUGUUAUAGUGUACAAUGAUUGAUAUAAAGUACUCAAUAUAAAUACGAACACAGACAUUUGAUUAAAUUGAGGUAUACAAAAUCAUUUUGUAAACAAAGUUGUAGAGAAAUUUUCAAUAAAAUAAAAGGGUGAUCUGACUUGAAUAUAAUUAAAAAUAAUAUUUAUGUUGCAUCUAUUCUUUCUAAUUAGGACAUGAAUCCAUCAUUUUAAUUUUUUUAAAUAUUUAUAUUUAUUUAUUUAAAUGUAUCAUUCAGUUUCGAUGCUUUCCGUGCAUCACACGGGUGAACGUACUAGUUUACGAAUUAAGGCACACAGCUUACCAUUUACACUUACAAACCUCCCUAAAACCACAAUUUUGUUACAUAUUCGAUCGGAACACAGAAAAAACAAAUAAAAGGCAUAAACCACCGCCCUUUGGCUUGCAAAAAAUAAGAGAAAUACACAGUAACCCUAGUAAUAACUGCACCAGCUUCUCUCUCUCCCUCUCUCUUGCGCUUUCUCGUCGCCGAGCCACCAUAGAUUAGAUAGCUUUCUGUUGGAGUGUUUUCUCUCACCAAUUUUUGGACUAUAAUUUCGUGCUUCUGCUGUUUCCAUUAAGGUUAGGUCUUUAUUUUUCAAGGAACAGUGCUCUAAUAAUUUAUUUUUCUAUGUUUUUUCUUCAAUUUAUUGAUUGGAUUAAUGGUUUUUCUGUGGAUUGAUAUGAUUGUGAAGUAAUUGGCUCGCUGUAUUCUAAAAAUUGUUCUGUUAUCUAGAAACUCAUAAUUAUAUUCUUUCUCCUCAAUUCAGGGAGUUAUCGAAACUUGAAGUAUUUUGAGUUCAGAAGAGGCGAAACUAUAUGGAGGAUUGGGGUAUUUUUUCAUAUCUAUUUUUCUUUAUUCAAUUGCCCUAUUUGAUUUUCAGAUUGCUGUUGUUGAAUUUUAUUUUCUUCGUUCAUGAUUUCUUCAACUGGUUUCUCUUACGGAACUGCCCCAUUUGACCGGCGGCUUUGGCUUGUAUAUAAUUCGUUUAUUUUUUUAGAAACAAUUUAACUGAAUUUGAGGUUAUCUAGGACUCUAGGUUGUGCUCUAACUGAACCACUGUCAGAUUGGCUCACAUUCUUGCUUUCUGUAAGCUAUUUUAUUGAUAAUUUACCAUUUAUGAUUUUGGCCUCCGAUCAUCUCUUUACCAAAUGAGAUGAAUAAUUCUCCUUUUGGAUUAAUUGUGCUAGUUUCAUCAUUAGUGAAAUCCCGUUAUCUCUGUGUUCAUGGGAGGAUAACCAAAUAUUCGGUUGAGGAUCUAAACCUCUUGGGCAUGGUUAGAUCUCCCGUGAUAGCUCAUCUUCUUUAUUUUGUGGAGUAAUGAAUGUAACUUGGUUUGCUUCGUUACUUUUCCAAUAUCUUAAUGGAUGAUCUUUUGGUGUUUCAGAAGAUGAGCCUGUUCCAGAUAUCCUGAGCAAAAAGGAGAUACUGAAGAGCAAUUGGGAGGAUGAGGAUUUGGACGAUGACGAUGUCAAGGAUUCUUGGGAAGAUGAAGAGGAGCCUACAAAGGUAUGCCUAAGAACUAUUUGGUUACAUUGCUGCUCUUAAUUUUCUUAUUAGUUAGGGUUCUUUGAGUAGCUUAGGUAAUCUUGUCAUUCUCCAAAUUUAUGUGGUCAGGAACCCAAAGCUGAGCCACUGCCACCUCCUGAAAAGUCCAUUCAAAAGACAGCAGCAAAAACAGAAGAAAAGAAGGUGAAAGCUGUUCAAGCCACAAAAGAGGCGCCUUUAGAUCCUAUAGAAGAAAAACUCCGCCAGCAGAGGUGGGCUUAUGCUCUGCAUUUAAAAUAUUCGGACUGUCUUCAUUCUUGGGCUCAAUGUUUUAAAAAACUAAAUCGGGAACCGAGGCGUUUUCUUAUUGUACCAUGAGGCGUAGGAACCGAUUCGAACCGAGGCGUAGGAACCGAUUCAAGGCGUAAGCCUUUAACAAAAAUUAUAAGUUCAUAAAUAUAAUAAGUUCAUAAUAUGUAGGGCUUUACUAUAGGACACUGGCGAGUUGUAGUGAAGAGAUGAAGCUGACGUUCUGUCUCUUGUUGUAGUGUUUACGUGACUCUUUGUCUUAGCAUAUGUAUAUUAGACUAUUAGGUUAUUAAUUAAUAUGUAGGGCUUUACUAUAAAUUGGGCCUAAAUUAAUAAAGCCCAUAAGUAAUUAGGUUAAAAUAUAUAGAGCCCAUUCAAAUUGGGCUGAAAAAUCAGAUUUUAAUUGAGGCUUACGCCUCAAGCGAACAGAUUCCUAUGCACCGCCUCAGAUCGCCUCAGUUAAUUGAGGCGCAGGUUUCUGUUCAAUCAACUGAGGCGCCGCCUCAGAUGCGGUUUUCCAAGGAUUGGAACUAAGGCGCACCUCAGUUCCUACGCCUCAAACGAUUUUUAAAACAUUGCUUGGGCUAUAGCAAAUUAAAAUUGAAGUGAAUAGCGAUACAUUUGGUCAUUCAAUUUAUGCACACAUUUCAAACUAGAGUUUGUAUUUCUAGUUCUUGCAGUUGUGGGGGUUGGGGUGGUUUACAUCAUUGAACUCAGGAAUUAUAUUCAACUCCGAAAGAAUCCAGUCAUUGAACUUCCAUUACCUGCAGUCACAGUUUUAUUAUACUGCAAAUUCUAUCUUCCAUUAACUUUAGUAACUAACAUCUAUUAAUACAUGUGCUUCGUUUCUACAGGCUUGUAGAAGAAGCCGAUUUUAAGUCUACUGCAGAAUUGUUUGCCAAGAAGGGUGAUGAAAAGACACUGGAUAAUUUUAUUCCGAAAAGUGAGAGUGAUUUCCUGGAAUAUGCGGAACUGAUCUCUCAUAAACUUCGUCCAUAUGAGGUUCGUGAUAUUUGCAUCACUAUAGCUGUUCAUUUUGGCAUUUGUUGUUAUAGAACUGUGACCUAUCUAUUUUCUUUAUUACAGAAAAGCUAUCACUAUAUUGGGUUGCUGAAGUCUGUAAUGAGAUUGUCAUUGACAUCUUUGAAAGGUGCGGAUGCCAAAGAAGUUGCUUCAUCCAUUACUGCAAUCGCAAAUGAAAAGAUAAAAGCUGAAAAAGAAGCCAAUGCUAGACAAAAAGAAGACUAGGUUUGUUAUUUCUCAGUUGCAUGCUACAUUAUAGCGAAUUAUAGUUACAAGUUUUGUGACAAGUUAUCUAUUGCUUACAGUUGGAAAGAAGAAACAACUGCAUGUUGGCAAGCCAGAUGAUGAUGUGGUGGUUGAUGGUUACGAUGGUUAUGAUGACUAUGAUUUUAUGUGAGCCAGCAUUAUUUCCAUAUCAGCAUUGUGUGUUGUUCCAAAUGGAAUACAUAACGCUACAAAUAUGAAGAGAAUCCCGCGACCUGUUUCAUUUCCUUAAUUGGGAGAUGGAUUGUAACAUUUUUGUUUUUUUGAUGGAAUAACUGAAUAAGGAGUUCUACAUUGUUCAGAUUUUAUUUUUACGAAUGUUGAUCAGAUAUCUAUUUUGAUUCUCGUUGGGGUAUCGAUGGCGGGAGAGUGGAGACAGUAAGUGUAAAAUUUUAGUACAUAAGGAAUUGUAAUUCAUUAUUUUAACUUGUGUUACCAACUAGAACAAAAACUGCGAGUCGGUUGGGUUUGUUGAACAUCUUCUACUUCUUUCAAACUUUUUGUGUCCGCUGCUGUUAGCAAAACCUAUACAUUGUGGAUCACUUUUAUAUGUUUUUGGUAUAAGAGAAGAAAGGCAUGUGAAUCGAACAGGCCAGUGUAUGUGGGCAUGUUCUUGUUACCUGAUUUCAUCAUUCUUCACUGCUUUCUAAUUUAAAGGGCCAAACUUUCAAAUUGUCUUCAUAAGAUUCAGGAGGAAAUUAAUAGAUAAAAUUGCACCAAGCCAUUACCAACCUUCACAAUUCUAGAACUGGAAUGUGAAUUUUCCUGCUCUAUAAAAGGAAAAUGGUGAUAGUUUUAUAGGCUUGAAAUUCGGAAUACAAAUAAUACAUGAAAAUCAAAAUUAAAAUGCUUUACAACAUAAGAUCACACUGUUAGGAG
rnacentral:lncRNA from 1 species